AGCAACUGAGGGCUCAGACAUCAGACAGGCUGGAGAUGGUGACUCUGGAUGUCACCAAGACGGAAAGUGUCACUGCAGCUGCCCAGUGGGUAAAGGAACAUAUCGAGGACAUGAUGAGGGAUGCCUGAAGUUUUUCAGCAAAAGAACUGAGGUUAUCAUGAAUAAGUCACAAAAGCAAUUCCAACACUGGCAAAGAAAAGAACUGAAUUGCACUGGAUUGAGAAGGGCAACAAAGCGGAGGGGAGCAUUUUCUUACUACAGAAUCAAGUAAUUUCUGGCCAAGAAACAGAAGCAAAAGUGUCACAUUCCCCAGUGGAUUUGAAUGAAAACAGGCACAGCUCCAAGAGGAGACAUUGGAGACCAAGCUGGGUCUAUGAGGAAUUGCACACGAGUUGGCACACGCAGUUAUGCUGUAUCAAGGUCACUAUCAUCUUACACAGCAGGCUGGAAAUGUUGCUACUAUCUGGACAGUCAAGCACAUUUCAUGUAAUUUUCUCUUUGCUUAUAUGACCUGCACUAAUAAGCUGGUUCAGUAAUAAAUACGUGAGACAUUUUGUUUGAAAAAAGGAAAAGUGAGAGACCUGGAAAGAAAAGAAAGUGAUCAGAAAGUAGGUAUUAGAACCGAAGACGUCAGAGAAGGAGAGGCUCUGAGUGCUGAAGUCCACGUUGAGGUGAUGAUCUAUGGUUGCCUGAAAGGAAGCUCACUAAAGUUUGAGAGAUCAAAAAAGUA